AGUGAACGCUGGCGGUAGGCCUAACACAUGCAAGUCGAACGGCAGCACAGUAAGAGUUUGCGCUUACGGGUGGCGAGUGGCGGACGGGUGAGGAAUACAUCGGACUCUACUUUUUCGUGGGGGAUAACGUAGGGAAACUUACGCUAAUACCGCAUACGACCUACGGGUGAAAGCAGGGGAUCUUCGGACCUUGCGCGAAUGAAUGAGCCGAUGUCGGAUUAGCUAGUUGGCGGGGUAAAGGCCCACCAAGGCGACGAUCCGUAGCUGGUCUGAGAGGAUGAUCAGCCACACUGGAACUGAGACACGGUCCAGACUCCUACGGGAGGCAGCAGUGGGGAAUAUUGGACAAUGGGCGCAAGCCUGAUCCAGCCAUACCGCGUGGGUGAAGAAGGCCUUCGGGUUGUAAAGCCCUUUUGUUGGGAAAGAAAAGCAGCAGGUUAAUACCCCGCUGUUCUGACGGUACCCAAAGAAUAAGCACCGGCUAACUUCGUG
rnacentral:rRNA from 1 species